CGACCACCCACUGGGAGGUAAGCCGGCCGGCGUCUGUCUGUCUGUCUGAUUUUGUCUCGUUCUGCCUUAUUCUGUCUGUUCUGUGAGCGCUCAGCCAGGUUCUGUGAGCGCUCAGCCAGGUCUGUUCUGUGAGCGCUCAGCCAGGUCUGUUCUGUGAGCGCUCAGCCAGGUCUGUUCUGUGAGCGCUCAGCCAGGCUGUUUGGAAUUUGGGCGGGACGAAGAAGGAGCUGACGAGCUCGGACUUCUCGCCCCGCAGCCCUGGAAGACGUUCCAAGGGUGUUAGGGGCCCGACUUUUCGGGGCCCAAUCUGGGAGAGGAGAAAGAUCCGGACUAACGGCACCUCUGUCUGUAUUUUUGGCUUUCAGAGGGCCCCGGACCUUUGCCACCUCCAUCUGACUUUUUGCUUUCAGUUUGGUACCAAAGCCGUG
ensembl:lncRNA